UUUCUCCAGGGAAACUAAAUUGGAGUGAAAACAGUGAUGGGUCCAAUCCCAGCUAUCAAGUAUGAUGAAGUACGACAGCGCGAAAUUUGGUUUAACAGAAUGGUUGCAGCUUACGCCGGCUGGGAAGAUGCGAGGAAUGUCCUGCGAAGGCCAUAACGUUACGGGACGGUACGCCAUUGCCAGCUGAUAUCAUCAAUGGCUGCUUGAGAAUUCUGGAACAGGAGUCUCUUUCCAUUCCCUGGCAGAAAGGUAAACCCAUCACGAAGUCUUAAAACUCAAGGAAAUUCAUGUAGGACCAAGAUUAUGGCAGUUCUGAAGCAGAUGAUUGAUUCAUUGAGACAUCAACUGAAAUCCAAUUAAUGUUGUCAUUGAAGGGGAUGAAAUAAAGCUCGUCUAGUUGUUCAAGCCUUAGCCUAAAGCGCGUCGAGGUCAAUGUUGAACAUUGUCAAAGCUGACCCCUGCCAGACAUGAUCUUGACCAUCUAGGCGACUUAGUUAGAAAACAAUAAGGUAAAUGCAAGCUCACAUGGUACAAAUCGUUAAAUACUGUAGGAAAGCUCUGACACACCUUCCCGUGUGGAAGACGAUGGACAUUUCUUCAUAAGUAAGCUUGUUCUAAUUCAAAUUCAAACGGAGUACUAACUUAAACUUUAAAGGGUAGGUGGUCGUGGACAAAUACAAACCAAUUAGAGCUACCUUUGAACGCCUCAAAUUGCACGUCAACCAUGGGAACAUUUCUUUUCCAACAAAACGUUGUUAUGGUUGAAAAUGGAGACUUAAAUAGAUGAACUAUGAUUAUAAGUUAGAAGACGAUUAUUGAAGGAAGCAUCAAGUCUUGGCUGAGCUCACAUAUUCUGCAACAGCUUUGACAAAGGAUUUUUUUAACCCAUUCCACAUCCUUUUGUCAAAUUUAAUGAUAACAGAUUGAAAUUUUUUUUUGGGUUUCUUUUUAUGGUUUGAUUCCCACUCUAUGCCCAUAACACACUUCAUUUUCCAACAAUGCUCUCCUUCUUCCAUUCUCAUGACUUUGAAAGCGUCGGU